rnacentral:rRNA from 1 species
GCCCAAGAGAUCGGGAUAACACCUGGAAACANAUGCUAAUACCGGAUAACAACAGAUGAUGCCUAUCAACUGUUUAAAAGAUGGUUCUGCUAUCACUCUUGGAUGGACCUGCGGUGCAUUAGCUAGUUGGUAGGGUAACGGCCUACCAAGGCGAUGAUGCAUAGCCGAGUUGAGAGGCUGAUCGGCCACAUUGGGACUGAGACACGGCCCAAACUCCUACGGGAGGCAGCAGCG